UACGUAGGGUGCGAGCGUUAAUCGGAAUUACUGGGCGUAAAGUGUGCGCAGGCGGCCGCGCAAGUCGAGUGUGAAAGCCCCGAGCUUAACCUGGGAAUUGCGCUCGAAACUACGUGGCUGGAGUGUGGCAGAGGAAGGUGGAAUUCCAGGUGUAGCGGUGAAAUGCGUAGAGAUCUGGAGGAACACCGAUGGCGAAGGCAGCCUUCUGGGCCAACACUGACGCUCAUGCACGAAAGCGUGGGGAGCAAACAGG
rnacentral:rRNA from 1 species